GUCUACGGCCAUACCACCCUGAACGCGCCUGAUCUCGUCUGAUCUCGGAAGCUAAGCAGGGUCGGGCCUGGUUAGUACUUGGAUGGGACACAUGACAAUAUUAUUUAGCCAUAAAAA
rnacentral:rRNA from 1 species